rnacentral:rRNA from 1 species
CUGAGUUUGAUCCUGGCUCAGGACGAACGCUGGCGGCGUGCUUAACACAUGCAAGUCGAACGAUGAAGCCUUUCGGGGUGGAUUAGUGGCGAACGGGUGAGUAACACGUGGGCAAUCUGCCCUGCACUCUGGGACAAGCCCUGGAAACGGGGUCUAAUACCGGAUACCACCUGAAGGGGCAUCUCUUCGGGUUGAAAGCUCCGGCGGUGCAGGAUGAGCCCGCGGCCUAUCAGCUUGUUGGUGGGGUGAUGGCCUACCAAGGCGACGACGGGUAGCCGGCCUGAGAGGGCGACCGGCCACACUGGGACUGAGACACGGCCCAGACUCCUACGGGAGGCAGCAGUGGGGAAUAUUGCACAAUGGGCGAAAGCCUGAUGCAGCGACGCCGCGUGAGGGAUGACGGCCUUCGGGUUGUAAACCUCUUUCAGCAGGGAAGAAGCGAAAUGACGGUACCUGCAGAAGAAGCGCCGG